UGGGGAAUUUUGGACAAUGGGCGCAAGCCUGAUCCAGCCAUGCCGCGUGUCUGAAGAAGGCCUUCGGGUUGUAAAGGACUUUUGUCGGGGAAGAAAAGGUCGGGGUUAAUACCCCCGGCUGAUGACGGUACCCGAAGAAUAAGCACCGGCUAACUACGUGCCAGCAGCCGCGGUAAUACGUAGGGUGCGAGCGUUAAUCGGAAUUACUGGGCGUAAAGCGGGCGCAGACGGUUACUUAAGCAGGAUGUGAAAUCCCCGGGCUCAACCCGGGAAUUGCGUUCUGAACUGGGUGGCUAGAGUGUGUCAGAGGGAGGUAGAAUUCCACGUGUAGCAGUGAAAUGCGUAGAGAUGUGGAGGAAUACCGAUGGCGAAGGCAGCCUCCUGGGAUAACACUGACGUUCAUGCCCGAAAGCGUGGGUAGCAAACAGGAUUAGAUACCCUGGUAGUCCACGCCGUAAACGAUGAGUGCUAGGUGUUAGACCCUUUCCGGGGUUUAGUGCCGCAGCUAACGCAUUAAGCACUCCGCCUGGGGAGUACGACCGCAAGGUUG
rnacentral:rRNA from 1 species